AGAGUUUGAUCAUGGCUCAGAGCGAACGUUAGCGGCGGGCUUAACACAUGCAAGUCGAACGAGAAUGAGGGAGCAAUCCCUCUAGUAAAGUGGCGGACGGGUGCGUAACACGUGGGUAAUUUACCUUCCGGCGGGGGACAACAAUCCGAAAGGAUUGCUAAUACCGCGUACGUCAGCGAGGUCUACGGACCUUGUUGGGAAAGAUGGCCUCUCCUUGGAAGCUGUCACCGGAAGAUGAGCCCGCGUCCCAUCAGCUAGUUGGUGAGGUAAUGGCUCACCAAGGCUUAGACGGGUAGCUGGUCUGAGAGGAUGAUCAGCCACACUGGGACUGCGACACGGCCCAGACUCCUACGGGAGGCAGCAGUGGGAAUAUUGGGCAAUGGGCGGAAGCCUGACCCAGCCACGCCGCGUGAGUGAUGAAGGCCUUCGGGUCGUAAAGCUCUGUGGGGAGGGACGAACAAGGCAGGUGCUAAUAUCACCGGCCCCUGACGGUACCUCCUUAGCAAGCACCGGCUAACCAUGUGCCAGCAGCCGCGGUAAUAC
rnacentral:rRNA from 1 species